AACGAACGCUGGCGGCGCGCCUAAUACAUGCAAGUCGAACGGUCUUUUCUAUGGAAGCUUGCUUCCACUGGGAAGAUGGUGGCGAACGGGUGAGUAACACGUGGGUAACCUGCCCAUAAGAGGGGGAUAACAUCCGGAAACGGGUGCUAAUACCGCAUAGGUUUCUUGGUCGCAUGAUCGAGAAAGGAAAGACGGCCUUUGUGCUGUCGCUUAUGGAUGGACCCGCGGCGUAUUAGUUAGUUGGUGAGGUAACGGCUCACCAAGACGAUGAUACGUAGCCGACCUGGGAGGGUGAUCGGCCACAUUGGGACUGAGACACGGCCCAAACUCCUACGGGAGGCAGCAGUAGGGAAUCUUCCGCAAUGGACGAAAGUCUGACGGAGCAACGCCGCGUGAGUGAAGAAGGUUUUCGGAUCGUAAAACUCUGUUGUCAGAGAAGAACAAGUCGGAGAGUAACUGCUCCGGCCUUGACGGUAUCUGACCAGAAAGCCACGGCUAACUACGUGCCAGCCGCCGCAGUAAGAC
rnacentral:rRNA from 1 species